UACGUAGGGACCAAGCGUUGUCCGGAAUCAUUGGGCGUAAAGCGCGCGUAGGUGGCUUCGUAAGUCCGUUGUGAAAGUCAAAGGCUCAACCUUUGAACGCCGAUGGAUACUGCCGGGCUAGAGUCCGGAAGAGGCGAGUGGAAUUCCUGGUGUAGCGGUGGAAUGGCGCAGAUAUCAGGAGGAACACCGGUGGUGUAGACGGCUUUCUGGACCGUAACUGACGCUGAGACACGAAAGCGUGGGUAGCAAACAGG
rnacentral:rRNA from 1 species